rnacentral:tRNA from 1 species
AGCGGAUCUAGAUAAAUAGGUAAUAUCAUUAACCUUCCAAGUUAAAAUUUAUGGGUUCAAAUCCCAUGAUCCGCUA